rnacentral:rRNA from 1 species
AAUCAACGCUGGCGGCGUGCCUCAGACAUGCAAGUCGAACGAUUAAAGCUCUCUUCGGAGAGUGUAUAGAGUGGCGCACGGGUGAGUAACACGUAAGUAAUCUACCUUUGAGUGGGGAAUAACAGUCGGAAACGGCUGCUAAUACCGCAUAACGCAGCGGCACCGCAAGGUGACAGUUGUUAAAGGAGCAAUCCGCUUAAAGAGGAGCUUGCGGCAGAUUAGCUUGUUGGUAAGGUAACGGCUUACCAAGGCUACGAUCUGUAUCCGGUCUAAGAGGACGGUCGGACACACUGACACUGAAUAACGGGUCAGACUCCUACGGGAGGCAGCAGUCGGGAAUUUUGGGCAAUGGGCGAAAGCCUGACCCAGCAACGCCGCGUGAAGGAUGAAGUAUUUCGGUAUGUAAACUU